rnacentral:rRNA from 1 species
UACGUAGGUGGCAAGCGUUGUCCGGAUUUACUGGGCGUAAAGGAUGCGUAGGCGGAUAUUUAAGUCAGAUGUGAAAUACCCGGGCUCAACUUGGGUGCUGCAUUUGAAACUGAAUAUCUAGAGUGCGGGAGAGGUAAGUGGAAUUCCUAGUGUAGCGGUGAAAUGCGUAGAGAUUAGGAAGAACACCAGUGGCGAAGGCGACUUACUGGACCGUAACUGACGCUGAGGCAUGAAAGCGUGGGGAGCAAACAGGAUUAGAAACCCCAGUAGUCC